rnacentral:tRNA from 1 species
GGUGAAUAUAGUUUAAUGGUAGAACGUCUGUAUGUGGCACAGUAAAUUCCCUGUUCAAAUCAGGGUAUUCACC